rnacentral:rRNA from 1 species
AACCUGGUUGAUCCUGCCAGUAGUCAUAUGCUUGUCCUAAAGAUUAAGCCAUGCAUGUGUACGUUCAAGCCCUUGUACGGUGAAACUGCGGAUGGCUCAUUAUAUCAGUGAUAAUUUGGUUGGUGGAGAAUGCUGUGGAUAACCGUGGUAAUUCUAGAGCUAAUACAUGUGGAGCAGACGCAAGUCUGGCAUUUAUUAGAUAAAGCCUUGGCGGGGGGGGGUGUAUUCUCUUCCCUGCGCAGGUGAGUAAUGAUAACUGGGCGGAUCGCAAACUAUUUGCGACGCACCAAGGAAAUUUCUGCCCUAUCAACUGUGGAUGGUAGGAUAGGGGCCUACCAUGGUGGCGACGGGUGACGGGGAAUCAGGGUUCGAUUCCGGAGAGGGAGCCUGAGAGAUGGCUACCACUUCCAAGGAAGGCAGCAGGCGCGCAAAUUACCCAAUCCCGAGGCGGGGAGGUAGUGACAGGACAUGACGGGGCGGGGCGCACAGCGCCCUGCGACUGGGUUGAGGAAAAGAUAAAGCGAAUGACGAGAAACGAUUGGAGGGCAAGUCUGGUGCCAACAGCCGCGGUAAUUCCAGCUCCAAUGGUGUAUAUUAAAGUUGUUGCAGUUGAAAGGCUCGUAGUCGGAAGGCGGGGCGGUGGAUGCAGAGCAGGGAGACCUGGAUCUGGGUCUGGGGCCCUUCGGGGGGCGAGGGAUGAUACCCGACCCCCCCCGUUACUGUGAGGAAAUUAGAGUGUUCAAGGCAGGCGUGUGCUUGGAUAGGUUAGCAUGGAAAUAACGGGAUGGUCCGUUGGUUGG